rnacentral:rRNA from 1 species
GACGAACGCUGGCGGCGUGCUUAACACAUGCAAGUCGAACGGAAAGGCCCUGCUUGCAGGGUACUCGAGUGGCGAACGGGUGAGUAACACGUGGGUGAUCUGCCCUGCACUUCGGGAUAAGCCUGGGAAACUGGGUCUAAUACCGGAUAGGAGCCAUUUUUAGUGUGAUGGUUGGAAAGUUUUUUCGGUGUAGGAUGAGCUCGCGGCCUAUCAGCUUGUUGGUGGGGUAAUGGCCUACCAAGGCGGCGUCGGGUAGCCGGCCUGAGAGGGUGGACGGCCACAUUGGGACUGAGAUACGGCCCAGACUCCUACGGGAGGCAGCAGUGGGGAAUAUUGCACAAUGGGCGCAAGCCUGAUGCAGCGACGCCGCGUGGGGGAUGACGGCCUUCGGGUUGUAAACGCCUUUCGCUAGGGACGAAGCUUUUUGUGACGGUACCUAGAGAAGAAGCACCGGCUAACUACGUG